rnacentral:rRNA from 1 species
AUUGAACGCUGGCGGCAGGCCUAACACAUGCAAGUCGAGCGGAUGAAGGGAGCUUGCUCCUGGAUUCAGCGGCGGACGGGUGAGUAAUGCCUAGGAAUCUGCCUGGUAGUGGGGGAUAACGUCCGGAAACGGGCGCUAAUACCGCAUACGUCCUGAGGGAGAAAGUGGGGGAUCUUCGGACCUCACGCUAUCAGAUGAGCCUAGGUCGGAUUAGCUAGUUGGUGGGGUAAAGGCCUACCAAGGCGACGAUCCGUAACUGGUCUGAGAGGAUGGUCAGUCACACUGGAACUGAGACACGGUCCAGACUCCUACGGGAGGCAGCAGUGGGGAAUAUUGGACAAUGGGCGAAAGCCUGAUCCAGCCAUGCCGCGUGUGUGAAGAAGGUCUUCGGAUUGUAAAGCACUUUAAGUUGGGAGGAAGGGCAGUAAGUUAAUACCUUGCUGUUUUGACGUUACCAACAGAAUAAGCACCGGCUAACUUCGU